UGGCACAGACAGCUUCAACACAAGCUAAGGACGAGAAUGUUUUCACAGAAUUUCUAGCUAAAUUGGUGAAUGCUGUAACCUUGAAGACUACUAGAUUUCAAUCUAUCCCUAUUCGGCCUGAUGAACUUUUGUAUGUAGACAAUCAUAUCACUUGAUACAGAUAGGUGCAGGCGUAAUCGUCUCUUCUUUUUAUUACAAAAAAAAAAAGGAAGAGAGCAUAGCAGCGAUCACUACGAUCAUGCCUUAUAAGACUGGUUUAGGCCAGUGGGUCAAGGCUUUUGCCUUUGAACAACUUUUUCUAGCAUUAUGGCUUAAUCUAAUUCUCAUUCAAAUUCUAUCAUAUUUUUCAUAUUUAAGAGUGACUUU
rnacentral:lncRNA from 1 species